rnacentral:rRNA from 1 species
AGGGAAGUGCGGCGGCUAUACAUGCAAGUCGAGCGAACGGACGAGAAGCUUGCUUCUCUGAUGUUAGCGGCGGACGGGUGAGUAACACGUGGAUAACCUACCUAUAAGACUGGGAUAACUUCGGGAAACCGGAGCUAAUACCGGAUAAUAUUUUGAACCGCAUGGUUCAAAAGUGAAAGACGGUCUUGCUGUCACUUAUAGAUGGAUCCGCGCUGCAUUAGCUAGUUGGUAAGGUAACGGCUUACCAAGGCAACGAUGCAUAGCCGACCUGAGAGGGUGAUCGGCCACACUGGAACUGAGACACGGUCCAGACUCCUACGGGAGGCAGCAGUAGGGAAUCUUCCGCAAUGGGCGAAAGCCUGACGGAGCAACGCCGCGUGAGUGAUGAAGGUCUUCGGAUCGUAAAACUCUGUUAUUAGGGAAGAACAUAUGUGUAAGUAACUGUGCACAUCUUGACGGUACCUAAUCAGAAAGCCACGGCUAACUACGUGCCAGCAGCCGCGGUAAUACGUAGGUGGCAAGCGUUAUCCGGAAUUAUUGGGCGUAAAGCGCGCGUAGGCGGUUUUUUAAGUCUGAUGUGAAAGCCCACGGCUCAACCGUGGAGGGUCAUUGGAAACUGGAAAACUUGAGUGCAGAAGAGGAAAGUGGAAUUCCAUGUGUAGCGGUGAAAUGCGCAGAGAUAUGGAGGAACACCAGUGGCGAAGGCGACUUUCUGGUCUGUAACUGACGCUGAUGUGCGAAAGCGUGGGGAUCAAACAGGAUUAGAUACCCUGGUAGUCCACGCCGUAAACGAUGAGUGCUAAGUGUUAGGGGGUUUCCGCCCCUUAGUGCUGCAGCUAACGCAUUAAGCACUCCGCCUUGGGGAGUACGACCGCAGGUUGAACUUCAAGGUAUUGACCGGGACCCGCACCAGCCGUGGACCAUGUGGUUUAUUCGAAGUCACGCGAAGACCUUACCAAUCUGGACAUCCCUUGACACUCUGAGAUAGAGCUUUCCCUUCGGGGGACAAAGUGACAGGGGGUGCCAUGGUUGCCGUCCACCUCA